GCCACAAUAGAUGCCUUUGGCAACCAAAACCUUUUUUCAGGGUAGAUACUAGAUAGAUACAAGAGAAAAUUUUUAGCUCACCAUCAUACUAGAUCUUUCUUUCCCCCCAAUCAAAAUUGAAACCCAAGAUUUUUCUCUACAUAUCUCUGGAAAAAGUAAUUGCUCUGUUCAAAACCAAGAAAUUUCUGAUGGGUAAUUUUGAUGGUUUAACAGAAGAGAUGAGGAUUUUGCACGAAAAACUUCUUUCAUCAAAAAACCAAAAGAAAUUUGCUUUUGUGGAUCCAGCAGCGCUACAAUCGAAGGCAUCAAAUUCGACAAAACUCACUCUAGAUCUCAUCACCUGGCUUAACAAAGCAAAUGAAGAGUUUCUUGUGUUUCCUUAUCUUAAGAAGCAACAUCAUUGGGUCUUAUUGGUUAUUAAAUUUAGUGCUCAGAAGGCAUGGUGGCUAGAUCCAGCUGGUGGCAAAACCGCAACCUCUAAAUUUGAUAACAUUAUCAAGAGUGUAUCCCUCGACAAGAGAACCACUGUAAUCUGGAUUUUUUAUUAUGAGGUACAUGACAACUUGGGGAAAGACAAAGUAUUGAGCCUGCAUUAAUGAUUCUUGAUCAUUUGCCUUCCCUGUGCUGGCAACUUGGCACGGUUGCUGGUAAAUGCUACAAACGUGAUUUAACGAAUGCAACAUAUGCAAGAGUGAGUGGAAUUUACAGAAACCUCGGGGUUGUCAAGUCUGUCGUUGAGGAAUGCAGGCCAUUUUUAUAAACUUCAACUAUACUAGUCUAAGUUUUUGUAAAUAGUAAUCACAUACUUUAUUGAUCCCCAUCAAGAAAUAAAAGACGAUAUAAACCGGGGAAAGCAUCUUUUCAUGAUUUAUUUCUCUUCGCGAAACUCUUUUUUGGGUUCUAGCUUAUGACCUAAUUUGGAGAUGAUUUCGUGGUCUACAGAAAUACCAACUGAACACUAGAUUUUAAAGCACAUUUCAGUUUUGGUAUGGCUGUUAAAUUUGAAA